AAUUUUUCACCCAUUCUAUCAGGAAUAGCUUGCAAGUUGUGGUUUGGCAAUGUACAUAAGCAACUGAUAUAUAUUUUUUUUCACUUUUCAAAUCAGUGUUGAUACACUCUUAGGCAUAUUUAAAGUUUGUAGAGAGAUGAAAUGUAAUAAAAUAGAGAUUGCUAUGCAGACACCUGCUAUACUGCCAUUCUCAAGGGAAAAUUAGAUCCUAUUUUGUGGUUCUAUUGGUUACUCGCACUCUGCACUCUAAUUCCUCUGCGCUGUUGCCCAUUAUAGUGUGCUGGAAAGCACUCUUGCUGAAAGAACUUGGGCUUAAAACCUGAUACCACUCUGUAAGAUACACUCCAUAAUACACUAAGAAUAAACUGUUGCAUAAAACUAACGUUUUUUAUUUCUUACUUUCCUCAUUGCAUUGUAGAAUAAGAAUAUUUGAGGAACUCCAUCAAGCCCUAUCUUUACGGCAGAAAAGUAGUACUAUACUGGUUUCAAAAGAAAAUGCUGCCUGAAAGUCAAGAGAGAAGAACAGACUUUGAAUCUUCCCCAAAUUAUCUGAUGAGAGAAAUAUUUCCUGAGGAACUGAUAUUUCCAGAAACAUAGUUUGGCAGAUUCUAAACUGGAUGAAAUUUUCUGUCCCUUCUCACAUCAUGGAGUUAGUUGCAAUCUAUGCUGUAAUUAUCAAAAUAU
rnacentral:lncRNA from 1 species